UACAGAGGUCUCAAGCGUUGUUCGGAUUCAUUGGGCGUAAAGGGUGCGUAGGUGGCGUGGUAAGUCGGGUGUGAAAUUUCGGAGCUUAACUCCGAAACUGCAUUCGAUACUGCCGUGCUUGAGGACUGGAGAGGAGACUGGAAUUUACGGUGUAGCAGUGAAAUGCGUAGAGAUCGUAAGGAAGACCAGUGGUGAAGGCGGGUCUCUGGACAGUUCCUGACACUGAGGCACGAAGGCCAGGGGAGCAAACGGG
rnacentral:rRNA from 1 species